UGACGACCCAUUUGAAUACUGUGAUGUUGUAACAACCACCACUCACAAGUCAUUACGAGGUCCCAGAGGUGGCAUGAUUUUCUUCAAGAAAGAUCCUGUUCUUUGGGUUGAUAUGGAAUCUGCGAUUAACAAUGUUGUUUUUCCAGGGUUAUAGAUUGCAGAUUCUGUUGGGGAUUUUCUCAUGAUGGAUAUGGCUCACAUAAGUG